GGUAUGCUUAGGGAGGAGCUUGCGUCACAUUAGUUAGUUGGUGGGGUAAAGGCCUACCAAGACUAUGAUGUGUAGCCGGGCUGAGAGGUUGAACGGCCACAUUGGGACUGAGACACGGCCCAAACUCCUACGGGAGGCAGCAGUAGGGAAUUUUCGGCAAUGGAGGAAACUCUGACCGAGCAACGCCGCGUGAACGAUGAAGUAUUUCGGUACGUAAAGUUCUUUUAUUAGGGAAGAAUAAAUGAUGGAAAAAUCAUUCUGACGGUACCUAAUGAAUAAGCCCCGGCUAACUAUGUGCCAGCAGCCGCGGUAAUACAUAGGGGGCAAGCGUUAUCCGGAAUUAUUGGGCGUAAAGGGUGCGUAGGCGGUUAAAUAAGUUUAUGGUCUAAGUGCAAUGCUCAACAUUGUGAUGCUAUAAAAACUGUUUAGCUAGAGUAAGAUAGAGGCAAGUGGAAUUCCAUGUGUAGUGGUAAAAUGCGUAAAUAUAUGGAGGAACACCAGUAGCGAAGGCGGCUUGCUGGGUCUUUACUGACGCUGAGGCACGAAAGCGUGGGGAGCAAACAGGAUUAGAUACCCUGGUAGUCCACGCCGUAAACGAUGAGUACUAAACGUUGGGUAAAACCAGUGUUGAAGUUAACACAUUAAGUACUCCGCCUGAGUAGUACGUACGCAAGUAUGAAACUUAAAGGAAUUGACGGGACUCCGCACAAGCGGUGGAUCAUGUUGUUUAAUUCGAAGGUACCCGAAAACCUCACCNGGNCUNGACNUGCUUCUGCAAGCUGUNGAANNNNANNGNNGUUAUCANUUGCANNGGUGGNGCANNNNGUCGUCAGCUCGUGUCNNGANNNNUUNGGUUAAGUCCCGCAACNNGNGCANCCUUAUUGUANUACNNGCNNGNAUGNNGGGGACUUUA
rnacentral:rRNA from 1 species